rnacentral:rRNA from 1 species
GACGAACGCUGGCGGCGUGCCUACUACAUGCAAGUCGAGCGCAGUGGCGGACGGGUGAGUAAUGCCUAGUAAUCUGCCUGGUAGUGGGGGAUAACGUCCGGAAACGGGUGCUUAUUCCGCAUUCUAUCAGAUUAGCCUAGGUAGGUUUAGCUAGUUGGUUGGGUAAUGGCCUACAUAGGCGCCGAUACGUAACUGGUCUGCGAGGCUGAGCAGGAAAACUGGAACGGAGACACGGGCCAGACUCCACCGGGAGGCAGCAGUGGGGAAUAUUGGACAAUGGGCGAAAGCCUGAUCAGGCCAUGCCGCGUGUGGGAAGAAGGUCUUCGGAUGGUAAAGCACUUUAAGUUGGGAGGCGUUACCAACAGAAUAAGCACCGGCUAACUUCGUGCCAGCAGCCGCGGUAAUUC